UUUGUCUGAAAAUAAAAUAUGAUCCUCAACUACGUUUCCCCUCCAGUCAGCAGACGCGAUGUGCAUCUUUCAGGCGAUGCUGCCAGCGUGACGUGUAAUCUAGUGGACGGUUCUUCAGAAACAGCUCGUCAAGCAACUCCGUAGCUUGCUAGCGAACAUAGCCGAAAGAUUCAAGCUAUUUAUACGCUUUCGUUGUAUAUUAGCUACUGUGUUUUAUACACACUUAUAUCGUAUCUACUCGUUAACCUAUUUAAUUUAAUAUGACGUUAUUUUGUAUUAGUCAGAUAUAGUAGCUGGCUGGUUAAGUUAGCACUAGCCUAGUCGCUAAUGAUAGCUAGCUAACAUCCCAGAACAUGAGCUCCCUAAACUACUCUCCUGCUAAAGAAGAGGAGGUCUGCUGGACGGAGAAAGAAGCUCUGGGGCUGAACAUUGUCGUGAAAGAGGAGAAGGAAGAGGAGGAUGUCACAGUAAAACAAGUAGAGGGUGAGGCUGUUACAGUGAAAGAAGAGAAAGACGUUACAGUGAAAGAAGAGGAUGUCGUUUUUGGUGUGAAAAAGAGGUUGGAGAUCUGUUUAACGCCAGUCCUCUGACUGGGAAUGUGUGUUGCAGUUUUACUUUAGUGCCUCAUUGCAAACAGGAUGCAUGUUUUGGAAUAUUUUUUUCUGUAUAGGCUUCUUUCUUUUCUUUGUCAUUUAGGUUAGUAUUGUGGAGUAACUACAAUGUUGUUGAUCCAUCCUCAGUUGUCUCAUAUCACAACAAUUAAACAUUGUAACUAUUUUAAAGUCACCAUUGGCUUCAUGGUGAAAUCCCGGAGCGGUUUCCUUCGUCUCCAGCAACUGAGUUAGGAAGGACGCCUGUAUCUUUGUCGUGACUGGGUGAAUUGAUGCAUCAUCUAAAGUGUAAUUAAUAACUUCACAAUGCUCAAAGGGAUGUUCAAUGUCUGCUUUUUUUUAACCUAUCUACCAAUCGGUGCCCUUCUUUACGAGGCGUUGAAAAACCUCCCUGGUCUUUGUGGAUGAAUCUGUGUUUGAAAUUAUUGAAUCCAUUUUAAAUUCAGGCUGUAACACAACAACAUUUGGGACAUGUCAUGGGGUGUGAAUACUUUCUGAAGGUACUGUAUAUAUAAAACUCUCCACCCAGCAAUCUAAUAGCAUCAGUAAAAUCUGUUGAAAUAAAACCACAGAUAAAUAUACCUAACAUAGUACAAUUAAACAAUACAUCACAAUACAUACAUCAGAAAUAGUUACACAUUAUAGAGAUCCAUUCAUGGAUGUACAGGUCUGUUGGAUAAACGUUCAGAAAUG
rnacentral:lncRNA from 1 species